AAUCUUUUGAAAUCUUUUUAUUAAAUCUCGCCAUCCCGCCGCAAAAAUUUCAUACAUAUUUUUGUCGUAGUGUAUACUUCUGUCAAACUUUUUUGGUGUCUGUUCUUUCAAAAACAUUACCGAUCAGAAUUUUCUUUGGAUGCAUUGAUCCGAAUGUGUUACCCAGGAACAGUCCGCAGAACUACCAGCAGCAAAAUUCUAGGAGAUUCUGUUCGCUCAAGCCUCUGAUGGGCCUCGCAAAACGCUCAACUUUGCUACUCCCGGACCAUUCCCGGACCAAAAACGUGUAUAAAACCGGAUCUCGUGAGGAAAUGAGUUCCGUGGAUCAAGUUUCUCUUUAACCAAGCAGACGGAAACCAUUGAGUGCUCCUCAAACUUGAAGGUGCCCGGUAACAUAAAAAGCAAUACUGGUACUGCCGAUGCCGUGAGGGUCGCGUUGGCUACGAGACAACUAUGACAGAUAACGGUUGCGGGUUGAGUUUCUUCGCGAGAGAAACGAGCACGGUGGAGUGAAAAACACAUGAGAUCGGGGCAAUCACAGGGCUCCCAGUUCCGCGUCAUGGUAAUAAGAUUGUUUGCUUCUGGCUCGUGGGAGAUUCGUCCAUAAUGCGAUGUGCAUUCUCGGUUACGCCAGCAAGACCAAUUGGAAACAUCAUUCAAACGAAUCGGUGCAUAUGGAUGCACGCAUUUGGGGUUCUCUUCCCCAUUAAGAAAUGGGAUUAUUAGAAAUUCCGUUGAGAUAAGCCGCGAUAAAACGAAGAGCAGCACGAAUGCGAUUGCGAGAAGAAACUACCAAUAAUGACAACAAAAGCGUUGAUCAUCUAGAGUUGGCCGCUGAUCUGAGGAAAGUAAAGGUACCUAAUGCUGUAAAAGGGAAUCCAGUCAAAGUUUAUAUAGAUACGUGAUACUAUAGCACACAGAUGGCUAAAUAUGUGCUGAAUUGGUGGCUGCCAUUGAAAAAAAGCAUCAGAGACUUCGACUUCGUAACGAUACCAAUCUAUUUUGAUUUGACACGGUAUACUGCAAUAAUGGGAUUGGACAACAAGGCAGCAGGUCUUCAGUGGUGAUCGCAAACUGCGAAUAUAGGCAAAGUUCAGACUAUGGAUGUACGACCGAACAAUUAUAUUCAGGAACUACACAUUGUUCAUCAACGUCGACGGCAAGAACUGCCAGUUGGUGAGAGCUCCCUGCAAACUGAACAACACCCAAGAUAUCGAGACUCCAUUGGCCGUGGUUGUUUUUUAGUUAUAAAGAUAAGGAGAAUUCCCAGGAUGUAUUCGAAAAACGCUCUAUAGUCAACUCUGUAUUAUUCGUUAUGGUUAGUCCCUGUAUGACCAUUACACAGUUAAUGGGUUGAACUUAUCGUCGAUCUUUUCCAUCUACAUACCUAGUGAAUUGUUCCGACCAGCUUGAUUUCUACGCAGGUGGCCCAGCAGAUGAGCCUAGCAAAUAUAUAAAUCGAAAUCUAUUCCCAAGCCGAAUUCCCGUGGGAAACUUUGCUUCCAAUUAUCAGCUUCAACUUGUUUAGCAGAUCCUUGAGGAUGCUGCGCAGCCGACGUAGUUUUGCCAUUGGAAGCGGCAUGCAAGAACCGAAAAAUUGAGAGUGCUGAUCCCAUUCCGUAACAUCUAAUUGGAGUUAAUUCUUUGCUAGCAUUGCGCAGCAUUGGAGUAAUCAAGCGUUAGGACUAAGCAAUACAAAAUAUGUUCGAAAGAAUUUCGAACUCGAAGGAUACCUCUAUGGUGCGAGCGUUAAUGAUGACGGCAACUGUGUGUAAUUUCCAUGGUCGAUCAAAUUUAUGGAUAACUUCAACGGGAUGCAAUGCAGAACAGGGAAGGUUCGAUUAUUAUGUACUUUUUACCUUAGU